CUGGGUACACAUAGUACAGACACAACAUAUAGGCAUGGCAUAUAGUUAGCGUUAAGCUUAACCCUGUCAGCUUAACCUAUCAGUACAUAUACGAUAACAUCCCCCGCUACACCUGUUCGCCGUGUUUAUGGCGCAAGAUAAAUUUGUGGAAGAAGCCCAGACAUCGGAUUGGGCUUCACAUGACGGGCACAUGAUCGCCAGAUGUUGAUAUGGGUCAACCUGAAUAGACAACGGGUCUUCCGUGAUGCACUGUCAGGGCCGACCAGAGGUUGAGGUCAACUGCCAGGAAGACAAGUAUAGGGCCAUUUAAUGGUUCAGAAGGAGAAGUGGUUGCUAUCCACUGCACAUAUCCUCGCCAGUAGAGGACCAUUAUUGUGAUCCGUUUGCCGGAUGCUGCGGAUGCUGUUUAUUGUUUUUUUCUUGUUCUGUUUCACCGUGAAACAUGGAAUGAUUUGCGUGAUUGACAUUACCGAGGUGAACUGAUCGUGACACCAAUCGUCACAAGCACUUGGAAAAGUGAACGACAUUCCUGUCGUGUGGAGAGACUGUAGACUCAGUAAUAUAUGAAUAAAUGUAGUAUAGUAGAGAGGGUGGUUGGGAGAGUGAAUGAGUUGGUAUUUUUUUGUGAUUCUAUGUAAAUAAAUUUGUAUAUAUGAAAUUGAUGUUAGAUUCCUUGUGUUGAUUUCUGGAAUAACCAAGCUGAGGCUCGUCCCGCGUUACACAGGAUACACGGGUAUAUAAUUAUCGUCAGUUCAGGAAACACGAUUACAGGAUACACGGGUAUAUAAUUGUCGUUAGUUCACGAAACACGAGUACAGGAUAUACGAGCAUAUAAUUGUCGUUAGUUCACGAAACACGAGAACAUGAUACACGUGUAUAUAAUUGUCAUUUGACAUUAGUUCACGAAACACGAGUACAGGAUACAUGUCUACGAUCAUUUUCUGGAUGGAUAUCCCGUGUUUUGAUCUUUAUCAAAUCUAGUUUUGUUUUUGUAUUUUUUUUUAGAUAUGACCAGGGACGUACAUACAUGUACAUAUUUAUGUAGUAUACAUUUUGUAUGUCUCUGCUAUGACGCCGAUUGAAACGAUCUAAAUAAAAUCCAUGAUUUAUUUGAAAACAUGUUUAAGAUUCUACACCAAUGUUUUCUGUAGAGAGGGAAUAUGAGGACGGAUGUGAUGAACUUUAGAAAUAACAGAGUGUUAUGAAAAGCAAAUAGUGUAAACUUCUGUUAUCGGCGUCGGAAUGGUUUAUUUAAAUUGUUUAUUUAGUUGAUAAUCUAUAAUCAUCAAUGAAUAUUUAUCUAUAUCAUUAUUUAUAUUCAUUUAAAUAAACAUCCCCCGUCUCUCUCUCUCUCUCUCUCUCUCUCUCUCUCUCUCUCUCUCUCUCUCUCUCUCUCUCUCUCUCUCUCUCAAAAAUAAGUCAAUAUAUGUCAUCUUGUAUGAAUGUAUGUAUGUUGUAAAAUUGUAUUGGGAAAAGGCUAAUUGAUAUAAGUUUAAUAACUUAAGUGUGCCCAAUUCCGUUGUAUAUACUAAAUCUUGGUUUCAUGCCCAAUACACGUGUUUCUGUGGUGUAGUCGUUGUGACGGAUGGAUCGCUGUAGUUUUUACAAAGAAACCACGUGAUUUCAAGUUUUCAACCGAACGUUAUAUAGCGACACGUGGUAUACACGUCUCUGGUGCUUGCAUGAAAAAGUAAUCAAUUUGGUUAAAUGAUUCUGAAAUUUUGACGGAUCGAUUUAAAAUUUGUGAACGAGAUACUUUAAAAGUGCACAAUGUUAUCGUUAGAAAGUAUUGUACCUUUUAAACAAGAUGAACUCAACAAAGCAUGCACACAGUGAACGCUGCAAUGUGGUCAAGAUCGUUGAAGAGUUUUGAAGACUAAAACGAGAACCUGUACAUACUGUAAAGGAUGGAUUCCAACCUACGAGUAAAGUAGGGGUAGUAAUUACGACAAUUCAAACUUUAGAGCAAAAGUUAGACAGUUCAACAAUGUGUUUAUUGAAAACUAUCUGAUCAGCUGAACGAAAUGUAAUAUCAAAUUCAUUCUAUAUAACUUAUACGGUAAGUUUGUAGUAUAAAUUCAUAAUCAUAAUAGAGAAUUUGUAUUAACUGUAUUUCUAUUUUUGAUAAUUGUUGAAUAUAAAUAUAUAUAUAGUGAGGUCCUCCGUUGUGCUUUUUGCAAUGAGAGGCCGUAUUCUAUCUUUAAAGUAAAGUAAGUUCUGGUAAUUUUAAAUGGUUUUAUUUAUUAUAUUUAGUAAAAUGGAUAACGUUUACUUGAAGCAGGUUAUUUAUUUUUGGCUGUCUUUUCCUUAACAGAAAGUGUGCUCGAGGAACCCCUGUCCAAGGGAUAGGGGUUUUUUCCUGGAGAAUAAACUCUUGAACUCAACCUGGUCUUUUGGGAGUUUUACUAACCCUCUGUGGCAGGCUUGAGCACCCUGUUACAUUUUGGCGCCCAACGUAAAAAACUUAAGGAGGAGUCAGCAGUGACGAUUGUCUGAGGUAUGAACCGGACUAUAGCAAGUCUACGAACUGUAGGAGCGAUAUCCGGUGAUGACGUCAAGGUGACCUUGACAGAUAUAAUAUAGAAUACGUGCCACUAUUAUAACUCGACCUUGACCUACGUUACCCGCUUCCGGUGAAGAACGUGAUUUUUUCUGUGUCGUGUUUAUAAACAUUUUUCUGCGAUGGUGUUCCUUGCUAAAUACUCAUCUGUGUUUAUUUCAUGGACCAUAGCAGUGGAUCGGGAACAAUUGACAAUACAGAAACCAGUCUCUUGAUUACUGUUGAACCAGAUGUGAUUUCUGAACCUACAGAUCUCAGCCGAAGGAUGACAUAUUGGCAGAUAAAAUCAGUCAUACUGCACUCUCAGAUCAAGGGGAAUAAAUCUGUAUUAAUUGAGAUCAUGGACCCCAUGUAAGUCAACAACUUCUGACCUGAUAUUGGAUGAUAGCCACAGACUUGACACAAAUGCAGCAAAAACAGCUCAGCAUGUGAGCACAACUGGAGGAGUACAAAUGUAAAACACCUGGAACUUGUUCAUAGACUUCUACAGAUUGAGUGUAGGAUAGAGCUUAUGAUAUAUAUUCUUGAACGACCUGACCAAGGACCAGCUUGGAGAAUUCCAGCUCAUGGACACGAAAUAGUUUCCUAAAACAGAACAUUAAUUGUACCACAGUUGCAGUAACAGGCUGAGGACGCCUCCGCUCCCCAAAGACCGGGUUCACCAAGAACAACACAAACAAUACUUGAACACAGCAAACUUCCUAAAACAGACCAACAUUCUACCACAGCUGCUGUCUGUCACAGGUCAUGGCUGAAGACAUCUGCCCAAAGACUGGGUUCACUUAAUUAGGAAUAACACAAACAAUACUUGGAUAACACCCCUUCAGGCAUAUGUAGUAUGAAGAUAAGAACAUUGUGACUUAGAGCUAGUCCGAAUUAUGGCCUCUACAACAAACAGAGGUUUACUGGUGUCACUCUGUCAUACACAAAAUCUUGUCUAGACUCAUAACUAUUUAGCAUUGUUCAGGUUCAACCAAAGUCUGUAUACAAAUGUAUGACUGUCUUAAUUGCGACAUAUGCAUUAUUUUAAUGGGCAAUUUUACUGUACACUGCUACCUUAUCAAUGUAUAUUUUGAUGCUUGAUUAUAAGUUUGAAUUACAUUCUUUAUUACUCAAAAAUAUCAAAUUUGUCAAACAACUAUCUUGUCAUUAUUGGAUGAUCAAAGGGAGAUAACUCACUUAUCUGUUUCAUAUUUUCAAGGUGGGUUUAUAAUCAUAAUAUUCAGUGAAUUAGUGUUAUUUAAAUAAUUAUUAGAUGUUAUAUAACAAACUCAAAAUGACUGAUUGGAUUUCUCACAAUCCAUAUAGACUGAAUCUUGGUUUGUUUUACCCAGUUUUCUACCAUAGCUGAAUACAUGGAUACUAAUUGAAAGAAAUUUUAUUUUUUGAAAUCGUUGGUAAAACCACUACAUGCAUAUUUUUAAUUUAUUUUCACAAUGAUAUGUGUGUAUUUCAUAUAAAACUGAGUGAAUGGCCAGGAUGUUAUUGUAAAUUAUUGUCAUUUUCUUAAGUACAACAGGAAAAACAGACUUUUUAAAAUGAAAUACAUUGUAUAAAAAGACAAUAUGAUAAGCAGAAGUUGUUUCUGUUUACAUCUGACAAAGACAAUAUGAUAAGCGGAAGUUGUCGCUGGCAACAUCUGACAAAGACAAUAUGAUAAGCGGAAGUUGUCGCUGGCAACAUCUGACAAAGAUAAUCUGGUAAGCAGAAUUUGUCUCUGGUUACAUCUGACAAGGCAAUCUGGUAAGCGGAAGUUGUUUCUUGUAACAUGUAACAGAGAAAAUAUGGUAACGAGGAAUAGUUUUUAUAUCUUAGAAUUUCUUGUAUUUUCAGGCUACUGUGUCCAGUCUACAUAUGUUUGCAUCUUCAAGAGGAGCCUGAACGACAAUAUGGCAAAAAGCUAGCAAGUCCAACAGUCAAAGACAAAAUGAAGUGAACUGAAAAGAUACUAAUCAUUAUAAGGACUGAUAUAUAAAAACUGAAAAAAAAGAAGAAAAAGAAGUAGCUGACUUGUCAAAUUAAUGUUGAUGAUAUAGAAAUAAAAUAAUGUGUCUUGAAGACUUGGAAGUGCGUGUGAAUAUAUCAAUGAAACAUUUAAUUCUGUGACCAUCAUAUUCAUUUGAUUAUGUUAGCAAAAGUUUUGACCAUUUGUUUAUCAAUUUUUUAAAUUUUUGUAUAGAGUUCAGAAAACUUCUACUACAAUCUGAAAAUCUUUGAAACUGAGGUUUAAUAAUUAAUAACUUUGGGUACAUAUAAUUAUAUGAAGCUGUGUUGCCUUGAAAAGAAUCAUGAUUCAGCUAUUUUUGCAGUUUCUUUCAGUAUUUGAUUCUUGUUGAUCUAGUCUGUAGAUCUAGACCUUCUUUUUUGAUCUUUCUAAUUUUCUAUCAAACUUUGUACACUUUAUUAUGACAUGUAAUUGCACAUUUUAUUGGCAUAUUAAUUGAGAUGUGAAUGGAAGUGUAAUCAUUUUCAUGGUUUUUGCUUUUAAGCAUACAACAAGUGUGUGUUUGAUUCAUAAUAAAUCAUUUUCAAUUGAAA